GACGAACGCUGGCGGCGUGCUUAACACAUGCAAGUCGAACGGAAAGGCCCUGCUUUUGUGGGGUGCUCGAGUGGCGAACGGGUGAGUAACACGUGAGUAACCUGCCCUUGACUUUGGGAUAACUUCAGGAAACUGGGGCUAAUACCGGAUAGGAGCUCCUGCUGCAUGGUGGGGGUUGGAAAGUUUCGGCGGUUGGGGAUGGACUCGCGGCUUAUCAGCUUGUUGGUGGGGUACUGGCUUACCAAGGCUUUGACGGGUAGCCGGCCUGAGAGGGUGACCGGCGACAUUGGGACUGAGAUACGGCCCAGACUCGUACGGGAGGCAGCAGUGGGGAAUAUUGCACAAUGGGCGGAAGCCUGAUGCAGCAACGCCGCGUGCGGGAUGACGGCCUUCGGGUUGUAAACCGCUGUCGCCUGUGACGAAGCGUGAGUGACGGUAAUGGGUAAAGAAGCACCGGCUAACUACGUG
rnacentral:rRNA from 1 species